AAUGAACGCUGGCGGCGUGCGUAACACAUGCAAGUCGAACGUGAAAGUCCCCUUCGGGGGAUGAGUAAAGUGGCAAACGGGUGAGUAACACGUGGGUAACCUGCCCUCUGGUGGGGGAUAACCCUGCGAAAGCGGGGCUAAUACCGCAUAACAAAUCGCUAAAUAAUUAGUCGACUUCAAAGCCUUCGGGCGCUAGAGGAGGGGCCCGCGUCCCAUUAGCUAGUUGGUAGGGUAACGGCCUACCAAGGCUGCGAUGGGUAGCCGGCCUGAGAGGGUGUCCGGCCACACUGGAACUGAGACACGGUCCAGACUCCUACGGGAGGCAGCAGUGGGGAAUUUUGCGCAAUGGGCGAAAGCCUGACGCAGCGACGCCGCGUGGGUGAUGAAGUUCUUCGGAACGUAAAGCCCUGUCAGGAGGGACGAAGCUCUGACGGUACCUCCAAAGGAAGCCCCGGCUAACUCCGUG
rnacentral:rRNA from 1 species